CAUGACAACCAGCAUCCAUCCCAAGAGUUGCCUCUGAAUAAGCCAAAGUUGGAGGGGCCUCGUUCGAGAAUCUAAGUGGAGUCAAAGUUCUGCUUCACCAAGGCCCACAAAAUGGAGACUUGCUUUUUCACACAUGGCCUGACUUCCUUCCUUCCCAGCACACCUGCCUGCCAAAUCUCAUCCCUACCUCUGCCUGAGGCCUCCAGAUGUUAGUAGUGAUGGAUGGAAACAGGACCAGGACUGAAUCCAUACGUGGUCACAGCACCACUGCCCCUGGUUCCUGGAGGCAGCCUGGAGAGGAAGCUUUAUUCCUCAUUAGUGAGAGAGCUGAUGGCUACAUGUUGACAUGAAGGACUCCUUUUGUUGUAUUCAACAUAAAGCCCCUUUCCCCAAACUCUUACUCUGGUUUCUUUAUUUUCCUACUCCCUCUACUACCUCCAACUCUUUUUCUUUUCUUUCUUUCUUUCUUUUUUUUUUUUUGCUGGAACUUUAUUGUGGUAUAAUUUACUUAACAAAGUUUACUCAUUUCAAGUGUGUGAUUCUCAGUACAUUUAAAAUUGAG